UCACAUUUAAUUAACUAACAUGAUGGGGAGAAUUUCAAGUUCAGUAGAUUAAAAGAAGAUUUUUGGUCCCUGAGAAUGCUUUUCCACUAUAGCACCUCUCCCACAAGUUACAUUUAGGUGAAUGCAAAUAAUGGUAUACAACACGUGUUUUGUAUGUAUUAUGUCUGGAAAGGUUUGACUGAAUGUCUGCUAGCCUUGAGAUUAAAAUGGUAUCAGCAUGAAGUAUUUUAAGUUUAUUUUUUAGAACUACUCAUAAAAAACAAAUUAUUUGAAUUAAGGUAAAUACUUUGUUUUUCUAUGAGUAGUUUUAAAGAAAAAAAAAAUAGUUAUCUUCCCAUCUGGAACAUUUUAAAUGACAUCCAGAACACCUCAGAAAUUCGCUUAACUGUCCAAAUUAAGCUUGACAGCAGAUAACAUUAUGUCCAAUGUAAAGUUUUUCAGUGAGCAUUACAAUUAAAUGACCAGUACAGUAUAAUGCAAAGUGUAGGUAGCAAUUAAAGUGGUAUCAGUACAUGGAAUAGCUUUAUCUCAGUUAUUUUUAAUCUUUUUGUUCUGUUCUGUCCCCUUUUACUUUAUAAUUUCGACUAAUUUUUUUCAUUUUGACAGCUAUUUUAUUAUUACAAUAUAACUACAUUUCUCAGGAAACCAGCUAGUACUACUCACUUAUUUUUUGAGUUGAUUGCCUGUUUUUUAUGACACCUAGUAUUUUAUUAAUUUAAACAGUUGUUUUAUACAGUUACAAUUUUAUAUGAAUUUCUAUACAUUCUUUUCUAGUUUGGUGUGUUCAAUAUUAACUGCUGGUUUAAAAGAAAAUGUUUGUGUUUCUAAAGAAACCACUUUGUUUAACAUUGAUUCUGUGUUUUACUCCGUGACCAUGAAAGAAUUGAGCUAAUUUUCUCCUCGUAAAAUCAUUAAUUUUGGGUACAAAUUAUUUUCCCAGCUCAAAUACAAUCAUAGUUUAUGAAUGCUGAAUUCAUGCAGUGUUGGGUUGCCAAAGAUUUUUUUUUAAAUUAUGAAUAAAGAAAACCAUCAGUGUAUAAAUAUUGACAUGAAUGAUGUGGCAGAGAGUAUUCUGUUUUUAUAAACCUAACUGCAUGUGCCCCACUUUGUCCUGCACACCAUCCACCGGAGGUAAAAUAAAAUAAUCUUGGUUCACCUAAUUUGUCUUUGUGUCUGUUGGGUAAGCGUUUGAACGUUUCAAAUGUCUGUUCUGUUAUAUUUUGGUGAUGGAUUGAGAAUCUGUUAACUGCCUAGCCCUGUGUUUGGGACUAUGCAUCCUAAAGCACAAAGUCAACUGACAUGAGGGCUUUCACGUGUUACAUGCAUUUAAUCAAACGACCCAAUACCAAAUAUGAUUCUAAUACUCACGCAGAAAAAACUAUAUACAUGUUACAGAGA